UACGAAGGGGGCUAGCGUUGUUCGGAAUCACUGGGCGUAAAGGACGCGUAGGCGGCUUUGUAAGUCGGGGGUGAAAGCCUGUGGCUCAACCACAGAAUUGCCUUCGAUACUGCAUGGCUUGAGACCGGAAGAGGUAAGUGGAACUGCGAGUGUAGAGGUGAAAUUCGUAGAUAUUCGCAAGAACACCAGUGGCGAAGGCGGCUUACUGGUCCGGUUCUGACGCUGAGGCGCGAAAGCGUGGGGAGCAAACAGG
rnacentral:rRNA from 1 species